rnacentral:rRNA from 1 species
CAGCCGCCGCGGUAAUACGUAGGGUGCGAGCGUUAAUCGGAAUUACUGGGCGUAAAGCGUGCGCAGGCGGUUAUAUAAGACAGAUGUGAAAUCCCCGGGCUCAACCUGGGACCUGCAUUUGUGACUGUAUAGCUAGAGUACGGUAGAGGGGGAUGGAAUUCCGCGUGUAGCAGUGAAAUGCGUAGAUAUGCGGAGGAACACCGAUGGCGAAGGCAAUCCCCUGGACCUGUACUGACGCUCAUGCACGAAAGCGUGGUGAGCAAACAGGAUUAGAUACCCCCGUAGUCCCUGUCUCUUAUAC